rnacentral:rRNA from 1 species
CCUACGGGCGGCAGCAGUCGGGAAUAUUGCGCAAUGGAGGAAACUCUGACGCAGUGACGCCGCGUGAAGGAAGAAGGAUUUCGGAUUGUAAACUGCUUUAGACAGGGAAGAAAAAAGACAGUACCUGUAGACUAAACUCCGGCUAACUACGUGCCAGCAGCAGCGGGAAUACGUAGGGAGGAAGCGUUAUCCGGAUUUAUUGGGUGUAAAGGUUGCGUAGACGGAGAAGCAAGUUAGUUGUGAAAGCCCGCGGCUUAACAGAGGAACUGAAACUAACACUACUUCCCUUGAGUACUGGAGAGGAAAGUGGAAUUCCUGGUGUAGCGGUGAAAUGCGUAGAUAUUAGGAGGAACACCAGUGGCGAAGGCGAGUUUCUGGACAGUAACUGACGUUGAGGCACGAAAGUGUGGGGAGCAAACAGGAGUAGAUACCCCAGUAGUC